rnacentral:tRNA from 1 species
GCAGUCGUGGCCGAGUGGUUAAUGCGAUGGACUGGAAAUCCAUUGGGGUCUCCCCGCACAGGUUCGAAUCCUGUCGACUGCG